rnacentral:rRNA from 1 species
GAUGAACGCUGGCGGCGUGCCUAAUACAUGCAAGUCGAGCGAACAGACGAGGAGCUUGCUCCUCUGACGUUAGCGGCGGACGGGUGAGUAACACGUGGAUAACCUACCUAUAAGACUGGGAUAACUUCGGGAAACCGGAGCUAAUACCGGAUAAUAUAUUGAACCGCAUGGUUCAAUAGUGAAAGACGGUUUUGCUGGCAGUUAUAGAUGGAUCCGCGCCGCUUUAGCUAGUUGGUACGGUAACGGCUUACCAAGGCAACGAUGCGUAGGCGACCUGAGAGGCUGAUCGGCCACACUGGAAGUGAGACACGGUCCAGACGCCUACGAGAGGCAGCAGUAGGGAAUCUUCCGCAAUGGGCGAAAGCCUGACGGAGCAACGUCGCGUGAGUGAUGAAGGUCUUCGGAUCGUAAAACUCUGUUAUUAGGGAAGAACAAAUGUGUAAGUAACUAUGCACGUCUUGACGGUACCUAAUCAGAAAGCCACGGCUAACUACGUG